CUGUUGUUUAGUUUUCCCCAUGACAAAAAUAUGUUUCUCUUAAAGAAUGAAUUUUUUUUUUGCAGAGUCCAAUGCAUUACUAGAGAAUUCCUAGCUGUACUCAAACUCAAACCUGACCAGGUUAUUUCUAUAUUACAACUACCUUUUGCUGAGACAAAAGCCCAACACAUGCUGAAUUUCUUGCAAACAGAGCACAGAAGUUACUUGUUGGACCUGGAUCUGGAACACCUAUGAAGUCAUCUCCUCUUGGUGUGUCAUGUGUCCUCCAAGUCAAUCUUCUCUCAGGGUAAGUGCUACUGUCCCAACAACAAUGACAAGGUUUUAGAAGUGGUAAGAAUGAGAUCCUUUAGAAAACACCCUUGUAUACUUUGACAAUUUUAUUCAAAUAUAAUAUGGUAUCUUUUACUGUGUAAAGGAAUAUUACAUAGGAAAAAGGCUUGGAGUGAUAAUCCAGUCCAAUAUAUCUAAUAUUUUAGAAAUGAUAAUGACCCUAUGGACAUCACUACAAACACCUUGC
rnacentral:lncRNA from 1 species